rnacentral:rRNA from 1 species
UACGGAGGAUGCGAGCGUUAUCCGGCUUUAUUGGGUUUAAAGGGUGCGCAGGCGGUCUGUUAAGUCAGCGGUCAAAACCCAGGGCUCAACCCUGGGACUGCAUUUGAAACUGCCAUACUGGAGUGCCGGAGAGGUAAGUGGAAUUCCUAGUGUAGCGGUGAAAUGCGUAGAUAUUAGGAGGAACACCAGUGGCGAAGGCGACUCACUGGACUGUAACUGACGCUGAGGCUCGAAAGCGUGGGGAGCAAACAGG